CUCAGUGGGUUUCCAGAGACAGUUCCCGUCUACACUGUUAACAGACAGUGCUCCUCUGGACUUCAGGCUCUUUUUAAUGUAGCAGGAGCCAUCAGAAGUGGAUCCAUUGACCUGGGCCUCGCCUGCGGUGUGGAGAGCAUGUCUCUGCGUACGAUGGGGAACCCUGGAGAUCUGAGCUCCAGGCUGAUGGACAACGACAAGGCCAGAGACUGCAUCAUGCCGAUGGGCAUCACGUCAGAGAACGUUGCGGAGAGAUUUGGAAUCUCCCGAGAAAAACAGGACGCCUUCGCUCUGAACUCUCAACAAAAGUAAACGAGUCAUUUAUUCAAUUUUUAUCUGUUGAACAGCAGCUGCUUGGAUCUGUGCAGGAGCAGGUGUGGGGCAGGAGCAGGUGUGGGGCAGGAGCAGGUGUG